GAUGAACGCUGGCGGCGUGCCUAAUACAUGCAAGUCGAGCGAACGGACGAGAAGCUUGCUUCUCUGAUGUUAGCGGCGGACGGGUGAGUAACACGUGGAUAACCUACCUAUAAGACUGGGAUAACUUCGGGAAACCGGAGCUAAUACCGGAUAAUAUUUUGAACCGCAUGGUUCAAAAGUGAAAGACGGUCUUGCUGUCACUUAUAGAUGGAUCCGCGCUGCAUUAGCUAGUUGGUAAGGUAACGGCUUACCAAGGCGACGAUGCAUAGCCGACCUGAGAGGGUGAUCGGCCACACUGGAACUGAGACACGGUCCAGACUCCUACGGGAGGCAGCAGUAGGGAAUCUUCCGCAAUGGGCGAAAGCCUGACGGAGCAACGCCGCGUGAGUGGUGAAGGUCUUCGGAUCGUAAAACUCUGUUAUUAGGGAAGAACAUAUGUGUAAGUAACUGUGCACAUCUUGACGGUACCUAAUCAGAAAGCCACGGCUAACUACGUGCCAGCAGCCGCGGUAAUACGUAGGUGGCAAGCGUUAUCCGGAAUUAUUGGGCGUAAAGCGCGCGUAGGCGGUUUUUUAAGUCUGAUGUGAAAGCCCACGGCUCAACCGUGGAGGGUCAUUGGAAACUGGAAAACUUGAGUGCAGAAGAGGAAAGUGGAAUUCCAUGUGUAGCGGUGAAAUGCGCAGAGAUAUGGAGGAACACCAGUGGCGAAGGCGACUUUCUGGUCUGUAACUGACGCUGAUGUGCGAAAGCGUGGGGAUCAAACAGGAUUAGAUACCCUGGUAGUCCACGCCGUAAACGAUGAGUGCUAAGUGUUAGGGGGUUUCCGCCCCUUAGUGCUGCAGCUAACGCAUUAAGCACUCCGCCUGGGGAGUACGACCGCAAGGUUGAAAUUCAAAGGAAUUGACGGGGACCCGCACAAGCGGUGGAGCAUGUGGUUUAAUUCGAAGCAACGCGAAGAACCUUACCAAAUCUUGACAUCCUUUGACAACUCUAGAGAUAGAGCCUUCUCCUUCGGGGGACAAAGUGACAGGUGGUGCAUGGUUGUCGUCAGCUCGUGUCGUGAGAUGUUGGGUUAAGUCCCGCAACGAGCGCAACCCUUAAGCUUAGUUGCCAUCAUUAAGUUGGGCACUCUAAGUUGACUGCCGGUGACAAACCGGAGGAAGGUGGGGAUGACGUCAAAUCAUCAUGCCCCUUAUGAUUUGGGCUACACACGUGCUACAAUGGACAAUACAAAGGGCAGCGAAACCGCGAGGUCAAGCAAAUCCCAUAAAGUUGUUCUCAGUUCGGAUUGUAGUCUGCAACUCGACUACAUGAAGCUGGAAUCGCUAGUAAUCGUAGAUCAGCAUGCUACGGUGAAUACGUUCCCGGGUCU
rnacentral:rRNA from 1 species